UAAAAUGAAUAAGGAGUAUUGUGGUAAUUGAAUAAUAGUUGAUAAAUAUAAAUAGGAAGAAAAAUAAAACAAAAGAACAAAAGAGAGAGCUGUAUUUUUGAGAGCAAACGUAAGAGAGGGAGAAGGAAGAAGAAGAAGAGAAAAGAGGGGAAGAGAAGGGAAAGGAAAGAGAUUGAGAGGAAAUAACUUUAAAGGUUCUCCUAACGAUCCUCAAUAGGAUUUUCGGGUCUUUCGUCUGACGUUCCUUUAGUUCUAUAUUUUCCGGG